UACAGAAAGAAAGGCUUUACUUAGGAUAAUUGAGGUAGAAACAUCCAUAAUAUCUUCAUGAGCAACCCUAAUAAUUAUAGUGGUUGCAAGUUACCCUCCACACUGAAAUAUCAUAAAAUCAAGUUUACUGAAAAUAAUUGGAAAGGAAAAGGCACUGUGGUAGUAGGUAGCAAGCUGCAAUUUGGACGCAUAGGUCGACCGCACACAUGUCGACUUCCCAUGGGGCCAUGUCAUCAACGUAUGUGUCCUAUAUAUGUGGCAUUAUCAAAGUUGGAGGACUACAUUUGUCAUCUGUUCUUAGACGGAACAAAGCACCCGUGAUUUGGUCCUUUGGAACAAGUUUCCUGGCCUGGACCCCUAUGUUGUUACCCUCCAAUUCUUCAUGACAAUGUAUCGAAUACCUAUCCAAAGCUCAAGCAAGCUACUAAUAAACAAGGAGAGAGGAUGCAUGGACCCAAUGGACUGUUAUAAAUAAGAAAGAAGGGGCAGCAUCUCAAGCUCUAAAGGUGGUUGCUGGUUCUCUGGAGCAUUGGAAGGUGGGUUGUGCAGGAUGGAGAAGCAGGGCACGUGCAUUACUACUUGACAUCUCUCCUUCACCAAGUUAGAGAGUUAGAUAGUUCUUCAUGUGCCCAUCUUCUCCACCAUGCCCACCCCACCUAAUUAAUUUACUGCUAACAGUCGAUGCUGAAGAUCAGAAAGAUUAGAUCGUUCGCUGCCGUCGGCAGUAACCAUGGUUUGGUAAGCUUACAUCAAGCUCGUGAUCUGAAGAAAACAGUCCGUCCGUCAUGGAUAAAUGGAAGAUCACUCCAUUCGCUUCAUGAAGUUGAAAAGCAACAAAGUCAAGAGAAGAUCUGAUGUGUUUCUUGAGCUAAAUCAUAUUUUGAAGAACAAGCAGCAUCAUUUAGUUAUUUCAUACCUAUAAAGUGGUUGGUAAAUCUGUCUUGAGAUUUGGAUCGAGAAGAAGCUUAUGACCUCAUUCAGACUAGCUGUUUUGAUACAAGAAGCAUUCACUUCUUUGCAUCUUUUGCUUAUUUUUUGCAGAAUUACGGCGAUGUUAGGAUCUUAUAUCAUAUGCAUAAAUGGGUCUUGCAAUAUUGUCUUGUACUGCUGUCACAGUAAUUCUAGCUAGCAAAACCAAAGCCUGCGCUUUCCAUUCACUUGCCACGCCCUCCUUCCUCAACCAAUCUCUCAGUCUCCUUUUAUGAUUCUUGUCUGGCGCCAUUUGGUGGACAACCAUUUUAUGAUUCGUUGCCCCAGCCCAGCUAGCUUCCACUAAUACCUUUGAGGUCGCUUCAGAGCAAUCUGGUUCCAAGAUGUACUUCCGCUCUCAGAAAUUAUAUAUUUUCGAUGAUAAGAAUUCUUUCUGAAUGCAGUUUCUUUUUGG